AGCCACCACACAGAAAGGCUAACUAAGAAAAAGCUCUGGAUCUUUCCCUGGAUCCCCUGACCCCGUGACAUCUUCUGAGGCAAGGAGCCCAUUGGAGGGUGAAAUAGGAUCUGGAUAAAUGUCCUGGCUGCUGACAUCACUGAUGAAAUAAUAAUGCCCCUACAGCCUCCCUUCUGUGGCAUAAUGACCCAAGCACCACCUAUGGGAAUCAAGUGACUGAGAGAAUUUCAGCUCCUCUUAGAA
rnacentral:lncRNA from 1 species